CACGGGUGAGUACACGUAUCCAACCUGCCGUCUACUCUUGGACAGCCUUCUGAAAGGAAGAUUAAUACAAGAUGGCAUCAUGAGUUCACAUGUUCACAUGAUUAAAGGUAUUCCGGUAGACGAUGGGGAUGCGUUCCAUUAGAUAGUAGGCGGGGUAACGGCCCACCUAGUCUUCGAUGGAUAGGGGUUCUGAGAGGAAGGUCCCCCGCAUUGGAACUGAGACACGGUCCAA
rnacentral:rRNA from 1 species